UCGCAGGUUCGAUUCCUGGUCCCUCCAUAUACUUUUAUCAUUUAUUUUGCUCAUUCCUCUUUUCUAACUACAACAUUAUAAUACAGACCAUACAGCAAUGUACUGUAAACCAAUUUUUAUUUGCGACGACAUUAUUUCGUGAUUCACUUGCGAUAAACUGGUUUGCAACGACUAAAUUUCGCAAAUAAAUUUCAUGUUGUUAUAACAACCAUACGAAAAAGCUGGUUCGCGGCGAUAAAUUUUUACGACGAGGAUCUCGCGAACCUCGCGAAAAUUUCUUGCUCGCGAAUAAAAGUUGGUUUGCAGUAUAUUGAAUAAAUAUUAUUGAAUUUUGUAUUAAAUGUCUAUCCAAUGAAUAUGUUGAACCAUAGAAUUUAUUUAUCGUUGCUUGCCAAGAAAUUCCCACCAGUAUUCUUUGUUUCUGUUCAUAUAAAAUUAGACUACUGUUUUAUUUACAUGUACAUAAAUGAAGAUAGAUAUUUGUGUUCAGAAACAUGUAUCUGUUGAAUAUACUGGAAUAUGUUUAUUUUUUUACUGUGGAAAUAAACAUCAGUAUUAU
rnacentral:sRNA from 1 species